UCUGGGAAGGAGGAGAGGACAGGGCUCUGGGAAGGAGGAGAGGACAGGGCUCUGGGAAGGAGGAGAGGACAGGGCUCUGGCCAUGAACCAGUUCCCAAAGACCAGAGAGCUUUGCCCUGCUGCUUCUCCCGGUUGCUGAGGCCAUAGCUCACAGACAGGAAGUUUCAACUACAGAACAGCAUCAGAAGAGAGUCCAGGUCCUCUGACAGCCUGAGGAAACACAAGAUCUCUGAAGCUGUGCGAGCAUGCUGUUCAGAUAUGAACUGUGAGUAUCCUCUGACUUGUUAGAAAUUCCACUUUGUAUUUCCCCUAAGAAUUUUAUACUCUGGUCAAAUAUCUAAGUGUUCAGAACUUCUGGGGAAAGACUGAACAAAGAAAAACAUUGGGAAUACUUCCCCCACGGCAAAGAAGGGACGGUCCCAGAAGUUAACCAGAGCUUCGAAAGUGGCACAGAUUGUCACUGUGUAGUGGAGAACCUGCCCCAGCUCACUGCAGUGCCUAGGCCUGGGGGCUCCCUGAGUGCUUGGCUGGCCUACAGCUCAUACAGCUGAAGCUGCCCAGUAAAGAUGACCCUUCCAAACUGCUUCCUGUGAAAAGGGGAGUCUGAAGAGAAGUUUGGUUUAAUCUUAAUAAUAAUAGUUUCAAAGGUUCUUCUUAAAAAAAAAAAAAAAGCAAAAUUUAGAUUUUACUCUUAGAGACAAAACAGUAAAAUCAUUUAAAUAAAAAAAAAUGCUUUACCUGCUAAUUACAGAAUUGAAAUAAACAAAAGACAAUAUAGGGUCAGAAAGAGGGCUCAGUGGGUAAAAAUGAUUGUCACCAAGUCCAGUGAUCCCUGGGACACACAUGGUGGAAACAAAGAACUGAUUCCUGAGAAUUUUUUUUUUUUCUGGCCUCCACAUAUAUCUGAGCUUUGGUAUAUUUCUGCCCCCAUCCAAAUAAAUAUAAUGAAAAAAAAAAAAAAAAAAAAAAAAAAGACAGUGUAAUGUUAUAGGUGUGAAAACAUUUCAUAAACAUUUUCAUUUAAGGUGAGUGCUAUUUUGAGUUUGUUAAACAUGUACCUCAGGGGCUGAGAAUAGACAUCAGUCAGUAAAACACGGGCCGAUAAACAUGAGCACCUAAGCUCAGAGCCCAGAACACACAAAAAACGUCAGGGACAACAGGUCACACCUGUGACCCUGUGGGAUCUGGGGCAGUGAGAGACUGUCUCAAACAAAAAGGUACAUGCAGGUACCACACACGCAUGCAUAUCUUUGUACAUGCAACAUGUACAAAGAAAGCGAAUAUCAGUAGUCACUGUCCUAUAAAGAAACUCUGCCAUCUAGCAAUCAGCGCUGCAUAGGAAACAACAGCAGGAGCUGCUGACAGACAGUAGUAUUUUCUCCAUUACUGGAUCAAUACGUGGGCAUCUGGAUGUGUGGAUAUGAACUCCCCCAGCAAUUCAGAAGCAGAGCGUAAGAAUGCCUAAACUGACAUGGCCUGAAUGUCUACAGUUUGUCUACCCAUCCAGUUAUCUAUGGCACUGACAGUCUAAGCUGUAUGUUUAAUAAAUGUGACUAAAUAAACAAACAAAUAAAUAAAUAAAUGCAAAUAAGACACGGAUUAUAGUUUUAAAUAGUCUCAUGGCAGACAGGAAGCAGCUGUGGGGUCACCAGUGGAGUCACUCCUCAGAUGAGCUCUACAUUCAAUUAAGUAUUUAUGAUACAAAAAAAAAAGCCUUUUCAGCCAAAUUUGAAAUUACACCAUACAACAUCUACAUUCAAG